rfam:Streptococcus urinalis 2285-97 final_molecule, whole genome shotgun sequence.
CAUCCUGUGCAACCGCACGAAAAUCGUUAUAAAGUAGAUAAUUUCUCACGAUUAUAGGCGAGUCUUCACAAGAGG